rnacentral:misc_RNA from 1 species
UGGGUUUGACAUACACCAUGCCGCUCUAGAGAUAGGGCUUCUUUUGGUGGUGUACAGGUGGUGCAUGGCUGUCGUCAGCUCGUGUCGUGAGAUGUUGGGUUAAGUCCCGCAACGAGCGCAACCCUCGUUCCAUGUUGCCAGCAUUUGGUUGGGGACUCAUGGGAGACUGCCGGGGUCAACUCGGAGGAAGGUGGGGAUGACGUAGACCUUGGACC